AGUGAACGCUGGCGGUAGGCCUAACACAUGCAAGUCGAACGGCAGCACAGUAAGAGCUUGCUCUUACGGGUGGCGAGUGGCGGACGGGUGAGGAAUACAUCGGAAUCUACUUUUUCGUGGGGGAUAACGUAGGGAAACUUACGCUAAUACCGCAUACGACCUACGGGUGAAAGCAGGGGAUCUUCGGACCUUGCGCGAUUGAAUGAGCCGAUGUCGGAUUAGCUAGUUGGCGGGGUAAAGGCCCACCAAGGCGACGAUCCGUAGCUGGUCUGAGAGGAUGAUCAGCCACACUGGAACUGAGACACGGUCCAGACUCCUACGGGAGGCAGCAGUGGGGAAUAUUGGACAAUGGGCGCAAGCCUGAUCCAGCCAUACCGCGUGGGUGAAGAAGGCCUUCGGGUUGUAAAGCCCUUUUGUCGGGAAAGAAAAGCAGCAGGUUAAUACCCCGCUGUUCUGACGGUACCCAAAGAAUAAACACCGGCUAACUUCGU
rnacentral:rRNA from 1 species